CCUACGGGGGGCUGCAGUAAGGAAUAUUGGUCAAUGGACGCAAGUCUGAACCAGCCAUGCCGCGUGGAGGAUGAAGGUCCUCUGGAUUGUAAACUUCUUUUAUUUGGGAAGAAACUCUCGAUUUCCAUCGGGAUUGACGGUACCAGAUGAAUAAGCACCGGCUAACUCCGUGCCAGCAGCCGCGGUAAUACGGAGGGUGCAGGCGUUAUCCGGAUUCACUGGGUUUUAGGGGUGCGUAGGAGUCAGUGGUGAAAUCUCCGGGCUUAACGCGGAAACUGCCAAUGAUACUAUUUGUCUUGAAUACGGUGGAGGUGAGCGGAAUAUGUCAUGUAGCGGUGAAAUGCUUAGAUAUGACAUAGAACACCCAUUGCGAAGGCAGCUCACUACGGAAAUAUUGACGCUGAGGCACGAAAGCGUGGGGAGCAAACAGGAUUAGAUACCCGAGUAGUC
rnacentral:rRNA from 1 species